rnacentral:rRNA from 1 species
UACGAAGGGGGCUAGCGUUGCCCGGAAUCACUGGGCGUAAAGCGCACGUAGGCGGCUCUUUAAGUCAGAGGUGAAAUCCUGGAGCUCAACUCCAGAACUGCCUUCGAUACUGGAAGACUCGAGUCCGGGAGAGGUGAGUGGAACUGCGAGUGUAGAGGUGAAAUUCGUAGAUAUUCGCAAGAACACCAGUGGCGAAGGCGGCUCACUGGCCCGGUACUGACGCUGAGGUGCGAAAGCGUGGGGAGCAAACAGG